rnacentral:lncRNA from 1 species
CUUUAACCCUCUUAUUAUAAAACGCGGUAUCAAAUAAGUAUCGGCUUUUGUACUAUCUUUAAUCCACCUUUAAGUACGACCUUGAAAAAACGUUAUUACAAAACGCAGUUUAUCGCAAGUCCUAUUACUAUCUGUAGUACAAAAGAUAAACCAUCGAGCCCCCUAGUUUAACUGCAGUACUUAGUCGACAAACGUCAAAUUCCGACAUAUUUACUUUUGAGGUUAUUUGUUUUGUGAUGAAAAAAACGAAAGUGGAUAUAAAUAUGUGUGAUUUGGAAUACUUGGAUGUGUUAGAAUACUAUUGAGAGUGUCCGGGGACCCAACAGAAUGCGUCAUCGACAAAAUCUCUUCAAAUUAUCUGACGACAAUUUUCGAUAUAAAUAUCGAUUUACGUUUUUCGAAAUAAUAGUCAAUUGAAUGCAUGAUGAUAAUCCAGGAUGAUCCUAUGAUGCUCAACUGGGCUCUCCAUAAAAUUCAAGACUAUUUUGGCGUUUUGCACGCCGUAUCUCUGCCAGUAAUAUGCAAUGUUUGUAAAAGACUGGAAGCUUGCUAAAAUGUACAAAAAUGCCUAGACGAGAAAAGGAACAAGAUUGUGUGAUGAAGAACAGUGUCCAACAUGUAUCAGUGCAUUUGACUGUAUAAAUAGACAUCGGAAUAAAAUAUAAUUUUCUACUUUUA